UCUUGGCUAAGGGCAUGAGUUUCCCGAAAUAACUGUUGAGUCCCUUAAAGAGCAAAUUCCUCGUUCUACACCACACUCCCCUCUCACUACUGCGCUUGACUAGAAUAAA
rnacentral:Y_RNA from 1 species